AAGUAGCUUGCUACUGGACCUAGCGGCGGACGGGUGAGUAAUGCUUAGGAAUCUGCCUAUUAGUGGGGGACAACAUCUCGAAAGGGAUGCUAAUACCGCAUACGUCCUACGGGAGAAAGCAGGGGACCUUCGGGCCUUGCGCUAAUAGAUGAGCCUAAGUCGGAUUAGCUAGUUGGUGGGGUAAAGGCCUACCAAGGCGACGAUCUGUAGCGGGUCUGAGAGGAUGAUCCGCCACACUGGGACUGAGACACGGCCCAGACUCCUACGGGAGGCAGCAGUGGGGAAUAUUGGAUAAUGGGGGGAACCCUGAUCCAGCCAUGCCGCGUGUGUGAAGAAGGCCUUUUGGUUGUAAAGCACUUUAAGCGAGGAGGAGGCUACCGAGAUUAAUACUCUUGGAUAGUGGACGUUACUCGCAGAAUAAGCACCGGCUAACUCUGUGCCAGCAGCCGCGGUAAUACAGAGGGUGCAAGCGUUAAUCGGAUUUACUGGGCGUAAAGCGCGCGUAGGUGGCCAAUUAAGUCAAAUGUGAAAUCCCCGAGCUUAACUUGGGAAUUGCAUUCGAUACUGGUUGGCUAGAGUAUGGGAGAGGAUGGUAGAAUUCCAGGUGUAGCGGUGAAAUGCGUAGAGAUCUGGAGGAAUACCGAUGGCGAAGGCAGCCAUCUGGCCUAAUACUGACACUGAGGUGCGAAAGCAUGGGGAGCAAACAGGAUUAGAUACCCUGGUAGUCCAUGCCGUAAACGAUGUCUACUAGCCGUUGGGGCCUUUGAGGCUUUAGUGGCGCAGCUAACGCGAUAAGUAGACCGCCUGGGUAGUACGGUCGCAAGACUAAAACUCAAAUGAAUUGACGGGGGCCCGCACAAGCGGUGGAGCAUGUGGUUUAAUUCGAUGCAACGCGAAGAACCUUACCUGUCUUGACAUAGU
rnacentral:rRNA from 1 species